rnacentral:rRNA from 1 species
AUAACAGCUGGAAACGGCUGCUAAUACCGCAUAAGCGCACGAGGAGACAUCUCCUAGUGUGAAAAACUCCGGUGGUACAGGAUGGGCCCGCGUCUGAUUAGCUGGUUGGCAGGGUAACGGCCUACCAAGGCAACGAUCAGUAGCCGGUCUGAGAGGAUGAACGGCCACAUUGGAACUGAGACACGGUCCAAACUCCUACGGGAGGCAGCAGUGGGGAAUAUUGCACAAUGGGGGAAACCCUGAUGCAGCAACGCCGCGUGAGUGAAGAAGUAUUUCGGUAUGUAAAGCUCUAUCAGCAGGGAAGAUAAUGACGGUACCUGACUAAGAAGCUCCGGCUAAAUACGUGCCAGCAGCCGCGGUAGUACGUAUGGAGCAAGCGUUAUCCGGAUUUACUGGGUGUAAAGGGUGCGUAGGUGGCAGUGCAAGUCAGAUGUGAAAGGCCGGGGCUCAACCCCGGAGCUGCAUUUGAAACUGCUCGGCUAGAGUACAGGAGAGGCAGGCGGAAUUCCUAGUGUAGCGGUGAAAUGCGUAGAUAUUAGGAGGAACACCAGUGGCGAAGGCGGCCUGCUGGACUGUUACUGACACUGAGGCACGAAAGCGUGGGGAGCAAACAGGAUUAGAUACCCUGGUAGUCCACGCCGUAAAC